UUUUUAGAUAAAAAAAUAUUUUAAUUAAAAAAAAGAAAAAAUAAAUAUAAUAAAUUAUAAUAAAUUAAAUUUAUUUAUUUAAAAAAUUAAUUUAUUUAAAGAACUGAAACAUCUUAGUAAAUUAUAUAAUAAAUAUUUGAUAGUAAUGGCUAAUGAAAUCAAAUCUAAAUAAAAAAAUUAAUUUAACUUUAAAAUUAAAUAUUAUUUUUUCAUUAAUAAAUAAAGUACCGUAAGGGAAAAUAAAAAUAAAAUAUAAAAACAAUGAUUAUCAUUUACCUUUUGUAUAAUGAACUUACAAGAAAAAUAUAUAGCAAAUUAAAAGAUUAAAUAAUUUUUAUAAGUUAUAUAUACCCGAAACCAAACGAUCUAAUCAUGAAAAUAUUUAGAUAUAAUUAAUAAAUGUAAAAAAAUUUUUAAAAUAUUUAUGAUUAGCAGCGAAAAACUAAACGAGUUUGGAUAUAGCUGGUUAUCUAUGAAAUUUAUUUUAGUAAAGCUUAAUAAUUAAAGUCAAACUAUAAAAUAAAAUUUUUAUAGUUUAUAAGAAAAAAAUCUUUAUUUGAAAUUAAUAUGUUUAAUAAUAAAAAUUUAAAAAUUUUUAUUAUAAUAAAAAUUAAAAAAUAGGAGUAGAAACAACCAUAUUUUAAAAAAAACGUAAUAGUUUAUUUAAAUAAUAAAAUAAAAUUAAAAUAAAACAUAAUUUAAUAAAUAUUCAAAUUAAGGUAAUAGAUUAUUCUUGAAAUCAAGAAAAAAUAAUGUAAGUAUAAUAAAAAUUCAUUAUUCUUUAUGUUUCUUAUUUUAAUAAAUGAAUAAGAUUAAACAAUAUUUAAUAAAAAAAAUAAUAAAAAUAAUAAAAAUAAUAAAAAAAAUAUAUUUAUUAAAAUUGUACUUAACUAAAUCAAGAAAGAAUAAAAAAUAGAUAAUUAUUUUAUUUAAGGAACUCGGCAAAAUUUAUAUCGACUGUUUACCAAAAACAUAGCUUUUAAAAUAAUUAAAAGUGCAACCUGCCCAUUGAUUUAUUAAUAAAAAUAAUAAAAAAUUGAAAAUAAAUUUAAAGGACGCGGUAUCUUGACCGUGAUAAUGUAGCAUAAUCACUCGCCAUUUAAUUAAUGGAUAGUAUGAAUGGUUAAACGAAUAUAACACUGUCUCAAAUAAAAAAUCUAUAAAAUUGAAAUAAUAGUAAAGAUGCUAUUUAAAAUUGUAAGACGAGAAGACCCUAUAGAGCUUAACUACAUUUAUUUUAUUAAAUAAAUUGGUAGUUUAGUUGGGGCGACUACCUUUUAAAUAUAACAAAGGUAAUCAAAAUUAAUUAUUUAAUUUAUUGUUUAAUAUAUAAAUUUAACAAUUACUAAAGUAGGAAAUAUUGACCCGUUAAUUAAAAAAAGUUUUUAUUAACGAUUAAUAAAUAAAAGCUACCUUAGGGA
rnacentral:rRNA from 1 species